GACGAACGCUGGCGGCGUGCUUAACACAUGCAAGUCGAACGAAAAUACCAAGCUUGCUUGGUUGAUUAGUGGCGAACGGGUGAGUAACACGUGAGUAACCUGCCCCUUACUUUCCUGGAUAACUGCUCGAAAGGGUAGCUAAUACGGGAUAUUCUGACCAGCCUGCAUGGGUUGGUUUGGAAAGGUUGUUUUUCUGGUAAGGGAUGGGCUCGCGGCCUAUCAGCUUGUUGGUGGGGUGAUGGCCUACCAAGGCUUUGACGGGUAGCCGGCCUGAGAGGGUGACCGGGCUCAGGGGGAGUGAGCUACGGGCGGGAGUCGUGCGGGAUGCAGCAGUGGGGGAUAUUGCAUGAUGGGCGGAAGCCGGGUGCAGCAACGCGGCGUGCGGGAUGACGGCCUUCGGGGUGUAAGCCGCUUUCGCCGGUGUCGAGGCGUGGUUGAGGGUAAUGGGUAAAGAAGCACCGGCUAACUACGUG
rnacentral:rRNA from 1 species